rnacentral:rRNA from 1 species
UACGAAGGGUCCAAGCGUUAUCCGGAUUCAUUGGGUUUAAAGGGUGCGCAGGUGGGACUUUAAGUCAGUGGUGAAAUCCCGUAGCUCAACUACGGAACUGCCAUUGAUACUGAAGUUCUUGAAUGUAGUUGACGUUAGUGGAAUGUGUCAUGUAGCGGUGAAAUGCGUAGAUAUGACACAGAACACCGAUCGCGAAGGCAGCUAACGAAGCUAUUAUUGACGCUCAGGCACGAAAGCAUGGGGAGCAAACAGG